GUGUUUAUAGCGACUGUGUGUUAGCGUGUUUAUAGCGCGCGUGUUAGCGUGUUUAUAGCGAGUGUGUGUUAGCGUGUUUAUAGCGAGCGUGUGUUAGCGUGUUUAUAGCGAGCGUGUGUUAGCGUGUGUUAGCGUGUUUAUAGCGAGUGUGUGUUAGCGUGUUUAUAGCGAACGUGUGUUAGCGUGUUUAUAGCGAGCGUGUGUUAGCGUGUUUAUAGCGAGCGUGUGUUAGCGUGUUUAUAGCGAGCGUGUGUUAGCGUGUUUAUAGCGACUGUGUGUUAGCGUGUUUAUAGCAAGCGUGUGUUAGCGUGUUUAUAGCGAGCAUGUGUUAGCGUGUGUUAGCGUGUUUAUAGCGACUGUGUGUUAGCGUGUUUAUAGCGAGCGUGUGUUAGCGUGUUUAUAGCGAGCGUGUGUUAGCGUGUUUAUAGCGACUGUGUGUUAGCGUGUUUAUAGCGAGCGUGUGUUAGCGUGUUUAUAGCGAGCGUGUGUUAGCGUGUUUAUAGCGAGCGUGUUAGCGUGUUUAUAGCGAGCGUGUUAGCGUGUUUACAGCGAGCGUGUUAGCGUGUUUAUAGCGACUGUGUGUUAGCGUGUUUAUAGCGACUGUGUGUUAGCGUGUUUAUAGCGAGCGUGUGUUAGCGUGUUUAUAGCGAGCGUGUGUUAGCGUGUGUUAGCCGCGCGUGUUAGCGUGUUUAUAGCGAGCGUGUGUUAGCGUGUUUAUAGCGACUGUGUGUUAGCGUGUUUAUAGCGACUGUGUGUUAGCGUGUUUAUAGCGACUGUGUGUUAGCGUGUUUAUAGCGAUUGUGUGUUAGCGUGUUUAUAGCGAUUGUGUGUUAGCGUGUUUAUAGCGACUGUGUGUUAGCGUGUUUAUAGCGAUUGUGUGUUAGCGUGUUUAUAGCGACUGUGUGUUAGCGUGUUUAUAGCGAGUGUGUUAGCGUGUUUAUAGCGAUUGUGUGUUAGCGUGUUUAUAGCGAGCGUGUGUUAGCGUGUUUAUAGCGAGUGUGUGUUAGCGUGUUUAUAGCGAGCGUGUGUUAGCGUGUUUAUAGCGAGCGUGUGUUAGCGUGUU
ensembl:lncRNA